rnacentral:rRNA from 1 species
UACGAAGGUGGCUAGCGUUGCUCGGAAUCACUGGGCGUAAAGCGCACGUAGGCGGCUUCUUAAGCCAGGGGUGAAAUCCUGGGGCUCAACCCCAGAACUGCCCUGGAUACUGAGGAGCUUGAGUCCGGGAGAGGUGAGGGGAAAUCCGAGUGUAGAGGUGAAAUUCGUAGAUAUUCGGAAGAACAACAGUGGCGAAGGCGGCUCACUGGCCCGGUACUGACGCUGAGGUGCGAAAGCGUGGGAGCAAACAGG